AAAUACAAGAUACUUCAGAACAUAACAGAUUGUACAUCAGCAGUAUAAAAUAUACAACUGCAAGUUACUUCAGAACAUAACAGAUUGUACAUUAGCAGUAUAAAACACACAACCACUAGUUCCUUCAGAACAUAACAGAUUGUACAUAAGCAGUAUAAACAUACAAAUACAAGUUACUUCAGAACAUAACAGAUUGUACACCAGCAGUAUAAAACACACAACUACAAAUUACUUCAGAACAUAACAGAUUAUGCAUAAGCAGUAUAAAACACAUAACUACA
rnacentral:lncRNA from 1 species